GCUGGAUGGGUACGCUUCACAGACUCCCACCAGUAGUCUGCCUCGCCACGGAACAUAAAGGUGGCGAAUGGAACCUUCUGUUCCUCCGUGCAUCCCAAGACAUCGAAUAUCUUGGUAAUUUGCUUGACCCAUGUUUCUGCCAUGAUCGGAUCUGGCUUUCCUUUAAAUUCUGGUGGUCCCAACUCUUUGAACUGCUUGGCUAUGACAACCCGUGAAUUGCUAUCAUUUCC
rnacentral:lncRNA from 1 species